rnacentral:rRNA from 1 species
CGUGGAUUAGGCAUGCAAGUCGUGCGGAAAGGCCCCCCACCCUGUCGCUCCCUCCUGCUUCGUAGAAGAUUCGUCUUCUGGGAAGAUCUGGGGCGAGUGCUGGGUGGGGGGUACUCGAGCGGCGAAAGGGAUAGUAACACGUAGGUACCUACCUUGGGGUCGGGGAUAGCCGCGGGAAACUGCGAUUAAUACCCGAUGAUGUCGGUGAUGAAAGUCAUCGUCCAAAGGUGUGAUUCCGCCCUUAGAUGGGCCUGCGUCCUAUUAGCUAGUUGGCGGGGUAACGGCCCACCAAGGCAAAGAUGGGUAGCGGGUGUGAGAGCACGACCCGCAUCACUGGGACUGAGACACUGCCCAGACACCUACGGGUGGCUGCAGUCGAGAAUCUUCGGCAAUGGGCGCAAGCCUGACCGAGCGACGCCGCGUGCGGGAUGAAGGCCCUCGGGUUGUAAACCGCUGUCGUAGGGGAGGAAAUAUCGGGGGGUUCUCCCUCCGGUUUGACCUAUCCUAGGAGGAAGGACGGGCUAAGUUCGUGCCAGCAGCCGCGGUAAUACGAACCGUCCAAACGUUACUCGGAAUCACUGGGCUUAAAGGGUGCGUAGGCCGCGCGGAGGGUGGGAUGUGAAAUCCCCCGGCUCAACCGGGGAAUAGUGUCCCAAACCGCCGUGCUCGAGGGAGACAGAGGUGAGCGGAACUGAUGGUGGAGCGGUGAAAUGCGUUGAUUAUCAUCAGGGAACACC